GACGAACGCUGGCGGCGUGCUUAACACAUGCAAGUCGAACGGAAAGGCCCUUCGGGGUACUCGAGUGGCGAACGGGUGAGUAACACGUGGGUGAUCUGCCCUGCACUUUGGGAUAAGCCUGGGAAACUGGGUCCAAUACCGAAUAGGACCACGCGCUUCAUGGUGUGUGGUGGAAAGCUUUUGCGGUGUGGGAUGGGCCCGCGGCCUAUCAGCUUGUUGGUGGGGUAAUGGCCUACCAAGGCGACGACGGGUAGCCGGCCUGAGAGGGUGACCGGCCACACUGGGACUGAGAUACGGCCCAGACUCCUACGGGAGGCAGCAGUGGGGAAUAUUGCACAAUGGGCGCAAGCCUGAUGCAGCGACGCCGCGUGAGGGAUGACGGCCUUCGGGUUGUAAACCUCUUUCAAUAGGGACGAAGCGCAAGUGACGGUACCUAUAGAAGAAGCACCGGCCAACUACGUG
rnacentral:rRNA from 1 species